rnacentral:rRNA from 1 species
GGGAGGUAGUGACAAUAAAUAACAAUACAGGGCUCUUACGGGUCUUGUAAUUGGAAUGAGUACAAUUUAAAUCUCUUAACGAGGAACAAUUGGAGGGCAAGUCUGGUGCCAGCAGCCGCGGUAAUUCCAGCUCCAAUAGCGUAUAUUAAAGUUGUUGCAGUUAAAAAGCUCGUAGUUGAAUUUCGGGGUUCUUCCGGUGGUCAGGCUAACCAGUCUGUACUAGCGUGUAGAAUCUCUACCUUCUGGGGAACCAUCAUGUUAUUAAUUUAGCGUGGUGGGAAACCAGGACCUUUACCUUGAAAAAAUUAGAGUGUUCAAAGCAGGCUUACGUCUGAAUACAUUAGCAUGGAAUAAUAAAAUAGGACGGUGGUCCUGUUUUGUUGGUUUCUGAAUCACCGUAAUGAUUAAUAGGGAUAGUUGGG